ensembl:lncRNA
CGAUUUCCCAGAAUGCCUUCCCCCACUCCUCCCCGGCCCUCCAAGUCUCCACUUCCUGUUAUCAGGAAUGGCUAUUUGUUAUGAGAUAUUCCUAUCUCCAUGACGACCUCUGGGUCGACGCUGGUUCUGUGACGCGUUGGCAGUUGAAACAUGAACAAGAAACCUCAUCGCAAAAUCAUGGAGAGAUUAACAACUCCCUUCCAACAAAUUCCCUCUGUCCAGCUGAUCCUUUGGGUGGAUAUUUGAGAUGGUUGACAUAGAUCAGCAUAAGUGCGUAUUCCCUGUGAUCAUUAUUACAGGGCCUCUGUUCUAAGUGAGCCUGUGUUAUUAUUAUUCGUAUAAUCAUUGUGGAGCCACAGCCUGCCACACACAUAAGGCAGAGGCAGGGGGCAAAAGAAGGCACAAGGAACGGCAUUGUAUAUCUCUCUAAAUGUCUUGAUCAUUAAAUAAUGGGCCCUGCCCAUUAAACAGCAGCAUAUGAAUAUCGGCAGCGUCAAAAGCGCACCACUGUUUAUACUACAAAUGCGGUUGAGUUACACCAUGUACAGUAAAACGGACCUGACUGCCAGUAACUCUAGUCACUUACCAACAAAAGCAUCAUUUCCUGAAAGCUCCUCCCAUUCUCCCUCCCUCUUCUCCCC